rnacentral:lncRNA from 1 species
CGGUACAUGAUCUAUUAACAUUUGGUGGCCGAUGCCAUCUUAUCACGAGCAGUAACUGAUAUUUUCCUGCCAGACAAGACAAUUGAACAUUUAUAGAUUGAGAUUUUAGAUGAACAAGCUGGCGCAAGACAUUGACAUGAUAUCGAAAACCAGGAUGUCAUCAGUCCAAGAUUUAGCAUGAGCAAAAGAUUUUAUACAAAGAGGGUGACAGGGAUACUCACAACCCAACC